GCUCCCGCCCAGCGAGCGUUUCUUCUUCUCUUUAUCCCAACGUGGCACCUGAGCGCUCCUGCAGCAAAAUUCUGGAGCCUUGGCUGGAUUCUUGCUGAACUCCAGAACCAUGACUUCGUGAUGAAUUCUUGUGUUGCUGUCCCUGAGAACUGUGUGGCUCUCCUGGAAAAAGGAACUGGUGAAUGUUUGCUUCCCUGACCCAGAAGCCUAAGAAUGUUACAUAUAGCAACCUGGAAGUCUCAGUAGGUCUGGUGCCCUGCGUAAAACUCAGUGCUGGUGUUCACAAGCAGAUCACUCACUGGAUCCAGAUUGACACAGGAGAUUCGAUAUUGUUCUCUGUGCCCUACAGUAGGAUGUUUCCAUUGCAGAGAACUGAAAGAUGAGACGAAAAGUCUGCAUCAUCAAUGGAGUCUUGAGAUAUUUCAGAAACAAUCCAGAGACAAUCUACUUUGGACUAAGUGUCCGGAAGGUAACGUGCGUUUUGCGCCAUUGCCAGGUAAAGGCUGGCUGUCUACGACAUUAUGUGAGGGGAGGGAGAGAAGAUGUGCGUGUGAUGGAAAGACACAUAUAUGCAGAUAUUACAUUCAUUCCAUUUUCAGGCAACUAGUCCCAAGCAUCAAUUUUAUGUCCUUUAUGAAGAGAAUCAAUUAAUUAAAUGGGCGCUAAAGAACGAGUGGUCUUCUUUCCUUCAGGAGAACGGUUUGAUUAAGCGGUUAAGCAAAAAGAGAGCAUAUGGAAUACCUUGGCUUGCACUUCGAUAAUGUCUGGAACAGAAACAGAGGUCCACUUGUAUAAGAGAUCAAGAAAAAUAAUUCUAAAUAUGACAUUUAAAAACAAACAUAAUAAAAAUUCAAUCCUCAACCAAAGAGCCAUAAAAGACAAACAAUAGGGGAAUUAUUUUACUGCUGCUGUUAUAACCAUAAAUUUCAUUUCUUUCAUGGUGAGUCUUGUUCAGUUACAGUGGUUUUCUAGGAAAAAAAAGAAAAAAGAAAGAGUGGCUUUGAGGGCUGGUAAUGAAGAGGAAAGAAGAUACACAAUUUUUAAAGUGUGGAAUUAAUUAUUUUGAAAAAUACUUCAGGAUCAUGAAUUAUCUGAAACAUAUCUGUUACAAAAUCUCAAGCAUUAGGCAUUUGUGUAUCUCUAAAUAUUAUUUUAAUAAUCACUUUGCUUAUGCUGCUUAUUACUUGUGUUCAACCAAAGCUCAGAUAUUGAAAAGUCUCUCAAUAAGAGUGACAUCAUGGGGCUUCCAUAGUUCCUCUUGAUGACUUCCAGUUCAAAUUUUCUCAGUGUAUAAGUGAAAAGAUGCUAUUUCUCACAGUCAGCCCUGCAGACUCAGCCUGGGAUUGCAAAAUCCAGCUGUGUUCCCUUUGCGUCUUAUACUGUCAAUGUAAUGAAAAUGCUCCAUGGCUGAUAACCAUGUUGAUGGUGCGUGAGGUUGGAUAUAUCUAGCUCGUCUCUUCUGUGAAGGAUUUUCUGGCUAUGCUAGCUGAAGAGGAAUAAAGAAAAAAAACGAGAAUUUUUUUUUUUUUGUCAUUGUUUUUAGGUCUGUUUACAUACCAUGGGAGGGAUUAGGAAAGUGAGGAGAUAGGAUGCAAAAAUACAGAACACAAAAUUAUUGAAUAAGAAAAUUCUACUUUUCUGCAGACAUUUGAAUUCUUCUUCAUAUUAUAUAUCCUCCAUGAAGGCAUAGUAAUUGAGGUUCUCUGCACCUUACCAAAGAACAACCCACACACUGUCACUGCUGUGAUAAAGAGAUGAUUUCUGUGGGCAGCAAAAUAUUUAAGAGUUUAAUUUUCAUCUGAUGUCACAAAAUGCAAGUGAUUCAAAAUCAUCCAUGUGCUAAGAGAACAGUUAGUUUUAGAUCACUUGAAAUUUGUUCUCUUUAGAGACAUUUUACUUGCCAAUGUUGUGAUCGUAUAACUCUCAUCUGUCCUGAGCCUUCUAUAAUCAAACCCAUUGUCUCUCCAGGAUCAUUUCUUUCAGCUAUUUUUACCCUCUUCCCGUUUCCUGCCUCUCACCACAAAAAUCUGCCUGCUACUUCUCUCUUAUUCGCUCCAUCACAUCAAGGCAGCAAGCGAGGUAGAAAUAGGAAGAACUUGGGAAAUGGAGUUUAAGGAGUUUACAUGUAAGCGUGAUGCUCAAAUGCAUCAGGGCAGGGAUGCAUAAAUCUGCAUGAGGAUAUAUAUACUGAUAGACUAUAGUCGCCAAGAGAUCAGAGGAUCAGAGGAUGGAUGGAUAGAUAAGAAGAUAGGAAGGAGGUCAGAGGCAUGCUCGUAUAGACAAAUAGUCCACAUGGACUGCAUCUGAAAAGAGCACAAACAUUCCCAGUAAUGGUAACUGCGCCCCCUUCCCUGCCCCUUUCAUCCUUCAGGUUGCCACUCAAAUGCCCAGAAAUACAAGUGCCCCCAACACUCUUACUCUUCACCAUCAGCUCUUUAUUUCCUUCCCCGUCACUCAGCACAAGCUGGAAGGAUCUUGUUUAUUCAUUUGAUGUGUAUAGAUUAGCCUACUAGAAUGCAGUGUCCUUGAGGUUAGGGACAACAGAAUAGGAUCUCAACAUGUAUUCUAAGAGAAGGAGUAAAACGGAGUGUCGAAGAGACAAAAGAUGAGAAUGCUUGAAUUGUGGCCAAAAUAAACAGAGAGGGCUUUUCAAUGAACGGAAAAAACAUAUUCUAUAAUCAGAAGCUGAGAUUUGUGUUGUAAAGUCACAUGGAGACCCAAUCUGAGCACCAUGGACUCAGGAGCUAGUUCUUGCUUCGCCACUGACCAAUAGGGUCUGAGCAGACUUCCUGAAGGGCGAUGCUGGGAGGAAGUGGCAGUCUGUUACUUAGUGUUUGUCAAUACAACAAAAACAUUGUAUUUUAAAGUCAGCCAUGCUUAGAGAGAGAAACGUUUUUUCUUAGGUCUGGAGUUGGUGCUCGUUAUUUGACCUGUUGGUAGAUGAAUGUUCUGGCAGAUGGAGUGCUGGGCAUGGGACAGGCUCUGGGAUGGAAGAUAACUGGUGACUGUGCUGCAUGUGCUCUGAUAGACCAAGGCUCUCCUUCAAAUCCUCAGUGCAUUCAGCCUUCAAGGAAAUGGGCCAUAAACAUUUGAAGAAGGAAAAUCUUUUUUUAAAAAUUUUUAAAUAGGCUUAUAAAAACUCUUGGUGGGGUGUUUCCUUGAGGCACAGUAGGUUAAGUAUCAUUGCUAUCAUUGCAGUGGCUCAGGUCGCUGCUGUGGCACAGGUUCAAACCCUGGGCCA